GAUGAACGCUGGCGGCGUGCCUAACACAUGCAAGUCGAGCGGAAGGACGAGAAGCGCGUGUCCCUAAGGUUAGCGGCGGACGGGCGAGUAACACGUGGAUAAGCAACCUAUAUUUCGGGGGGAACUUCGGGAAACCGGAGAUAAUACCGGAGAAUAUGAUCAACCGCAGGAAGCAGAGGUGAAUGAGGGUCUUGCUGUCACUUAUAGAUGGAGCCGCGUUGCAUUAGCUAGUUGGUAAGGUAACGGCUAACCAAGGCAACGAUCCGUAGCCGACCUGAGAGGGUGAUCGGCCACACUGGAACUGAGACACGGUCCAGACUCCUACGGGAGGCAGCAGUAGGGAAUCUUGGGCAAUGGGCGCAAGCCUGACCCAGCCAUGCCGCGUGGGUGAAGAAGGCCUUCGGGUUGUAAAGCUCUUUUGUUAGGGAAGAACAGCAGCAUAUUAAUCCCCCGCUGUUCUGACGGUACCCAAAGAAUAAGCACCGGCUAACUUCGUG
rnacentral:rRNA from 1 species